GGACAAAUAGGGCACAGUUUGUUCAAUCGUACAACUGGCUCCAUGCACUCUGUUCAGUGCGGGGUCAGGUGCUGAUGGUUUGUGAACAAGGAGGACAAAGCUGGAAGUCAAGCUGUAUGGAAGAUUCUGAUAGAUAGCCACCACCAUGUCUUUAACCAAUAUAUCUUGCUGGAAACAGCUCAUGAUUUCUGUAGGACAGAGAUAUACUUAAGCAAUGAAAAUUGCAAAAUCUGGAACUUGCAUUCUUGAAGAUGUCUAUAUAUAUUUGUAGAUAUAUAGAUAUAAAUAACAACAAAAAAAUCAAAGUGAAAUUUCUUCAGAAUUAGAGAGUGUUAUCUAACUUUGAAGGAUAAUGUUGGUCAUUGUUUUUUUUUUAAUUGGCACACAGACUACAGGAAGAGAAAUCUGUACCAGAUUAGAAGGAGGAAAUGUAGUUACCUGUUCUCAGAUUUGGUUGUUUUAGGCUGUGGUAGAGGGAUAUAUGGUGGAUCACAGAUAUAUAAAUAUGACUUAGAAAGGGGAUGGAAUCUCUUCCUCUUGUCAAUAAAAUGGUGGCAAUUGUUUAUAAAGCGCUUCUCAGACAGAAUGGAAAAUUAAGAAUUUGAACCCAAAGUGUUCUCCAGCAGCUGUUGUAAGAAAGGUGCUUGUUAAUUGCAUUUUGCCUAGGAAAUAGAAAGUGUUACCCAUCCCAAUACCUUUGCAAAGGGUUUCCAGCACUUAAGAACAGAAAUAGGAAUAUCUAGAGCUGGCAAAAGUGCUCUUUAGGGGGCUGAGAAGGACAAAAUUGAGAGACUAGUAUCAACCAUUUUCUCUGUGUGUUCCCCUCCUUUCUUGGGGAAACACCGUGUUCCUUACAGACCUGAGAGUUGUGGGGCAGGGGGAGUUGCACAGUGGACACCAUUGUAAUGCCUGGAUGUGUUUGGCAAAUGGGGUCCCAAGGAACCCAGUGGGAGAUACUAGGGCUGUAGGAAAGAGAGGGGUCAGGAGUAGUGCCUGACUGCACUGAAAGUCUGGGGCUUGACUUGGCUACCAAGACAACUGAGAUUGUUCUGGGUCCAGCAUACAUGGUUGCUGUCCUUCCAGAUAUGGCUGUCAAGUGACUCUGGGAGUCUGUUUUUGAGCAGAAAAGAGAGUGAUCUUGAAGAAGGCUUCUCUGCUGUCCUCCCCUAAAAACCAAUGACAUCUAUGCUUUUCUGUAGCAUGAAAUUACUUUUUCACUACAGGUGAAAAAUGAUAUAUGGGCCGCUUCCCAGAAAACUCUCUGAGUGUAAUGUUAAACAGAGGCACUUUCUCUCCAACACAACAGUGAAAUCAGAACCUAGGGAAGGAUGUAUUUCUGUACAGCACACACUUCCUGCCUGCUCUCCUCCUCUGACAUUUGUGUCCCCACAGGGGAUGGACCAGCGCACCCUCUGCACGAUUUUGUUAGACUGGAAUGGAAGCUUUCAGUUCGUAUCUGGCAGAGAGACAAAGUUCUCAAACAUCAGCAGACCCAAGAGGCCUAGAGAGUCUCUUUCCUUCUGAGGAACCCCCGAGAGAAAUGUCUCAGUAGCAUUUGGGAGAAGGCCGGAUGGUGAUAAGUAACAUGGCAGGUAAUGAUACUGCCUCGUCCUUUGUGGGAUCUCAGUGCAUACAGUUGAAUUGGAAUAAAAAGAUCAAUCCUUGUCUUUUACCCAGUGAAGAAGCCAUUCAUCUUUAGGAGCAGGACUUGAAAUGUGUAGUGGUCUACUAAUAUAUUAUUUGUAAAGGCCAAGAUGAAUUAAUUUUCAAUCAGAUGAACUGGUAUUUUUUUGUUCCAAAGGCUCUCAUUCAUCCUUGCUGUCACUGAAAUGAGAUAACCCAUACAAAUGCAACUUUGUUAAUUGUGCCAGUUGGAUUUAGCAGGAGACACUAAGUGGUUGGUGUGCGAGGACGAGAAGAAAAACUACUGAUGCAAGCUGACCUAACACCUGCCUUUUGCUGUGGAAUGUGAAUCCUCUUCAUGGAUUCAGUUCAGCACCACAUCUUCAUGCAGUUACAUUUCAGCACUAACCUCAUCUCUGCUGCUCAGCACAGCACCGCCAGCUCCCCUGGGAUGCAGCCAGUGAAACACCACUGCGCCCGUGGGUUUAAACGCGUGCACGGUGCUACCCAGGGCUGCUCUGCACGUACCAAACGUCAAAAUUGAGGUACACCUCUCAUCCACACAUGGCUGUUUCUUGCCAUGAGGUUAUUUUUACAGGACCUGUAUUGCCGGGUGGGGUGCCGUGCUACAGACUGAUGAAAUAAGCCAUUUGUAAUUGCCUUGUAAUUCUUUGUUUUCCUUGGGCAACAGGUUCUGCCAGUGAUCCUUUUGCUGCCCCGUGGCGAUGUGGAUCCACACGCCGUGCUGCUCCCCGCAGCCUUCGCGCCUAGGUGCUCUUCAUCGCUAUGAGUUUAAUUCAUAGAGAGGCCGUAGCCCACUUGACCAGUGGAUGUUGGUCUUUCAUCUGAAGACAGGUUGAUUUGGUUACUUCCUACCACCACGGACUGUGGUUGGUGAUUGUAUUUGCCCCACCACCUCCAAGUUAAUGCAGUGCCAAGGACAGAUGUGAAGCAGCUCUUUCUCUCGAUAUUGAUGUGGUAUCCUCUUAACCCAUCACAGCGCCUCGGGCCCACCGGCAGCACAGGAUAUGGAGGCUCUCGAAGUUGAUGACAUCAGCCCUGCCUUGGAAGUGACUGAAGACUUUUUCAACGGUUUUGAUACUAAGCUUGAAAAGAUUGUGCAGCCCUCUGAGGUGUAUGGUGUGCAGGAGGUCCCUGAGCUGGUUGGGCACGAGGUAUUUGAUCAUAUAACAGAGAGCAGGAAUCUGAGGAAUGCUGCCUCCUUAGCCAAAAGUAGCCUCAUCUGGGAUCACUGCAAAAAUGGCCUCUUGGAAACCAAAGCUCAGACAGCAUUUCCUGCCAAAGACCAACACAUGGUGCAGAGGGGAACAACUGCUGACAACCUUGCUUGGGCAGGGGAAGGGGAGACCACAGCUUUUAACAUCUUCAGGAUCUGCCAGCGGAGGAGAGACAGGCCUCGCUCGGUGAAUGACAUCCUGGUACAGAACGAGGAAGCCUCCAGGUUCAAACCAGGACACAACAGGUCACGCUCCGAUAUCAGCCAUGUGAAGUGGGGAGUGGUCUUCACAGGCAUGUCCCUGCAGCAGCCACCUGCACCUGGUCAGGACAAUAACUGCGCUCUGCUCUCUUACCUGGCGUUAACCAAGGGAGAGGACAUCCAAGGAAACACAGAACACAAGCCAGUGUUCCCAAAUCUCCUGAAGAAGGGAUACUUAGAAGUUAGAAGAGACAAUGACAGCUACUGGCAAACCUGUUACGCUGAGCUCUCCCCAUACAAACUGUACCUGUAUUGCUUGGACAGCAGUGGCAACCAGACUCUUCCCACCGUGUAUCCACUCAUGCGUUUUCAAAGGGUCACUGUUACUGGGGGCAUUGAAACCAAGGUGGUGGACACUGUCCUGUCAGACAGCUCACAGCUACAGCUGAAGGCAGAGUCCUCGUGGGAGACACUGGACUGGGGACAGAAACUCUGGGAAGCAGUGCAUGCUUCUGUGCCUGCUUUCACGAGACAGCAGGAGAAACUGGAGAAUAUGCCAAAGCCUGAAAAUAACAGUGACCUUUCUCAAACCAAUGGAUUAUUAGAGAAGCCUAUGGAGCUCUUCCUGUCCAUGAAUUUGACUGAAAACACUAAAGAGUAUCAAAAUAUUCUCAAAUCAGGGACUCUUUACAGGUUAACUGUCCAGAAUAACUGGAAGGCAUUUACUUUUGUCUUGAACAGGUCUUAUCUCAUGGCAUUCCAACCCGGUAGGCUUGAUGAAGAUCCUCUGCUGAGCUACAAUGUCGAUGUGUGCCUGUCGGUGCAGACGGAUACUCAGGAUGACUGUGACUCUUGCUUUCAGGUCAUUUUCCCCCAAGAUGUCCUGCGCCUGCGUGCAGAGACUCGUCAGAGGGCCCAGGAGUGGAUGGAGGCAUUGAAAGCAGCAGCCAAUGCUACUAGAAGUUUAACUCAGAACCCACAGGUCACACUUAGGAACAAACCUGGAGAUCGGCCCUUGGGAAGUGACCUCAGAAAGAGCAAGCGCCAGUCUGUGACCACCAGCUUCCUCAGCAUCCUGACCACACUGUCUCUAGAGAGAGGGCUCACAGUUCAGAGCUUCAAGUGUGCAGGCUGUCAGCGCUCCAUAGGUUUGUCCAAUGGAAAAGCCAAGGUGUGCAGCUACAGUGGAUGGUAUUACUGCAGCACCUGCCACGUGGAUGACAGCUUCCUCAUCCCUGCACGGCUGGUUCAUAACUGGGACACUUCCAAGUACAAGGUAUCAAAGCAAGCCAAAGAGUUCCUGGAAUAUGUUUAUGAGGAGCCAUUGAUUGAUAUCCAGCAGGAAAAUCCCAUGCUGUACAAGCAUGUUGAACCUCUGGCAACUGUUGUCCGGCUGAGACAGCAGCUAAAAUCUCUCCGAGCCUACUUGUUCAGCUGCAGAGCUGCAGUGGCUGAAGAUCUGCGUAGAAGGAUCUUUCCCAGAGAGUAUCUUCUCCAGCAAAUCCAUCUUUACUCUCUUGCAGACCUUCAGCAGGUUAUUGAAGGAAAGCUGGCUCCUUUCUUGGGGAAGGUGAUCAAGUUUGCCACCUCUCAUGUGUACAGCUGCAGCCUUUGUAGCCAAAAGGGUUUCAUCUGUGAGAUUUGCAACAAUGGAGAAAUCCUUUACCCCUUUGAGGACAUUUCUACAAGCAGGAACCUUUGGACUUCAUCCCUGUGAUGAAAUCAGCUACAAGCAGGGAGUUAAUGUUUGAUGAAGAUCACACAAGCUGCACAAGGAAACCAUGUGCAAGGCCUUCUCUUCCUCCUUAUUUGCUUUACAAGGAACCACUGCAUCCCAGCUGAAAAUGCCUCAACAGGUGGAAGGUAUAUCUGCAAGGACACACCUAUUGUCAGCCCUUGCCCGUAUCCUCUGGGCUGGAGCCAGGAUCAGGGAUUAGCUGAACUCCCAAGCAGACCUGUCUAGUAUGGUGGAGCUUCAUGGACACUUCUGCACAUGGAUUUAAAGGUAAAAAGAGGAGACAUCAAAAAGAGCAAGAUGUAUACUCCAGCACUCCUUUCUUUGCUGACCCCACUUCAGCCAUCUCAGAGUUAUUUGCAGCAAUUCUUCAAGUAUGUUCCUCAGAUAGAUGAGCACUCCAGGCCAGAUUGAGUGAAGAUGUACAUUGUAUAAAAUCACUAAUUAUGCUUUCCUGAAAGCAGGGCUGGCACAGUCCUGCAUUUUGAGACAAAGAACUCCCAGGCAAGGGUGCCUUGCUGUUCUGCUCUUCUCAAGCUCCUUCAGCAAAUAUAUAUUAUGGAACAAGCAGUUUUUGAUGGGACAAGUAAUUAAGCAUUACAUAUACAUAUAUAGAAAAGGUAAGUUCUUUUUUAGUUAAUCAAUUUGUGACUACUUAGAAAUCUCUAAUGAACCCACUUGUUCUGUGUCUUCAUUAACAGGGUUUCAUGAGAUACUGUAACUAUUUAAAAGUCAGCCCAGUUCACUUAUUGAGGAGGGAGGGAAAGUGUUCCAAAAGCUCAAGUUUCAGAAAUGAGGCAUCUCUUACCAGUGUCACUAUUGCACAUUCAGCUGUCAGCUGUGCAGCACUGAAAAGUGUCCGGACAAACCGGUAUAUGUGCUUGUGAUCAGGGUCAUGCUUGUAGUAGUCAUCUGGAACUUCUUCCCGCUGAAAGAAAGUUCUCUGAAUUACUGAAAAUCUGUCUUAUUUAAUACUGACCCUAAAGAACAGCCACACAUGGUUAUUUCUUCUCACCAAAGUGUAUACAACCCUUUUCUGUCACAGAGACAGAACAAAAUUAUACUGAAAGAAGCCGCCCUGCGAUAUCACAAAUAUUCCAAACAAAACACAAUAGCUGUAGCUGGUAUCUUUGUUUUGAACAUUUUUUUGAUCUGUAAGGCUAAUGGGAAAGAGCAUGAACUACCAUCAUUAUUGCAGGUGCUUACUAUUGUCCAUAGAACAUUUUACAGACUGAAAGAGAUGUAAAAAAAAAAAAGGAGUCUUCUUCCUGCAAGAAAAUCACAUGUAUAUACACACCAGGGAAACACUGACACUUCAAAAGGCAAUUAAGAGACUUCACAAGAUUCCUCUUCCAGCUGAGGAAGAGCUGAAGAACACAUGGCAAUAAUUCUGUCACAGGUAGAACUGGAAGGUAAUUUACACUGUCUUCAUAGGACUCAUCCUUGAGAGACUCCAGAAAGACAACAAAACUAAUAAACAGGUAGAUUUAACUCUGACACAAUGCUAAACUAUUUCUAAAUACAGGGGAGAAGAAAAGCUCAGAAAUAAACAGUCUGUAAAAGCAAUUCUUAUAUGAGUAUUUGAGAGACACUGUGAUAUUCAGCACUCUUCCUGGAGGGAUGAAACUUCAAGAGCUCCAACUCUGCACACUGGUUCUGCAAGACUGAUACCUGAUUUCUAUCUACAGUCCAAGGUAGAUCUAUAGUAUGGUAAAGACAGUAGCUGAGAACAUCAUACCUGCCUGACAUUAAACAAGUAGCUGUAAGGUAAGCAAAGCAGCAAGCAUUUUCCUGUGUUUUGUAGUUUAAAAAAGCCAGGUAGCAGUGUCAAGUAAAAUGCAGAGGUAAGUUAACUUUGUACUCUCCACACAGCCUUCAAAUACACCACUAACCAGUGGCGGUUACCUCUGCAGGGUGGGCAUGCAACAUUAGGAAUAACAUGAGCAGGACCCCUCCUGCGCUACAAGCAGUACAAAAGCACAUCUGGAAGUACAGUUCUGCUGACUGGAACUGAGGAGGAAGGCACUGAGACUGGUAUUUGUGACUAAACCCCAUGAUACUGGUAACUGGGUCACAUUAGGGUCAACAGAGCCUGGAUUUGAACUCCUUGUGACUGCAUCUUUGGAAGACAAGGUGUUCAGAGAUUUCUUCCAGCUAAUUAACCUUUUUAAAGGAACAGUAGGUACCCAGGCAGAACGCCAUUGCUAUAGAAACUAACAAGCCAUCUGUGCCUUUCCCCUCAGAAGUAUGACAAUCAGCCAUAACUCUAUUUCUGUCUGUAUGCUGCACCAAGAUAAAAAAGACCUUUAAGUGUUCCCUAAAGGACACAAUGAUUUUCCUCUCAUUAAAUAGGAGCUAGGCUAUAUGAAAAGAUCAAAGGAUGUCAGGUUGUUAAAUAAAGAAAUUGUCUGAUGAAGUGGAGUUCAUCUUACAUAAAUAAUUUUCAAUGGAAAACAACAGAUUUGGGCAUUUAAAAUAGUUCUGGACCACACUUUUCCUUUUGAAGUGCUACAGUCCAUACAAGAAAUCUUCAAUACAGCUCUUGUCCUGAAGUUGUUUGGGGUUUUUUAAAAUACUAAAUUGUUCAUUAGAAAGUGUUUAUAACAAGCCAAAUCCGUGAGAGAGGUUGAACUGCGUUCACUCAGGUAAGUCCCAGAGCAAAUUGAAUUGUUAAAGCCACUAGAGCUUUGCUAAGUUAAUUUCAAAUGAAAAACAAGGGAAGUGGUUCUGUAGGACAGGCAUUAAGCUAGGAGUGCUCAAACUGGAUGUGAAAAGCACACGCUCCAGUCUUGAACUUGCCUGUACUCUGAGGUUUUGCAUCUUAUAGAUUGUCUAAAAAGGUGUAUGUACCAGGAUCAGUCACAUUAAAAUUGCAUGCUGAAUUGCUCCUAGCUGUUAUUGCAAGCAGCCUUAGGCAUAUUUGCUUUAAAAUGUUGCCCUUCAGGUUUUUUAAAGACCAAACUCGCUGUUGCCUACUUCAUGUGAUGCUUCACAUAUUAUGUUCCCCCAUUUGCAGUCAUUAAAAGGGUAGGCACAUACCUACGGACCAUGUCUUCCUAAAUAAAUAGGAGAGACUUGUAAUUAAAGUAGUAUUAAAGAAGGGAAGAAAAGAGAGAGACAAGAAACUUCAGAUAUGGAAUAUGGAAGAACUGGGCACAUGCUGCUUUCUCCUUACAGUCAAAGCAUAGAAAACCAAACUUACUUUGCAGCAUUUAAAAAGACUGGGUUCUGUUUGUGAUUUAGCUGAUAUCAAAAGUCAUUAUUUGCUCUGUAUAUUAUAUAUAAAGGUAAAAUUUAAGAUCAAUUUGAUUGUGACCUGGUGGUAAUACAUUUUUCUGACUUAUACAAUACAAAUCAAGGUGUAUAUUGAUACACAUUCAAAGGAUCAGAAAGUUACACUUACUGUGAGAGGAUGAGAUUUUUCAUCAAAAAUAUCCAAUGAUCUGUCAGAAUCUCUACAAAACAAAAAUCUCUGGUUUAGCAACAAGAGUUAAUUGGUAUUGGUAUGCCCUACUAAAAAUUAUUGUUCUUCCAAGAGGAUAAAGGGACAUAUUUUAUAGUUCAGCUUUUCCUAGAAUGAGAUAUUUUUGCAAAUACCAUAUUUUUGCAAAGCCUUUAAUGAUGAGACCUUACAACUGAAUAUUUAAGAUGCUAAACAAAGAACAGCUAUCCAUGUUCUUGUAUUAUGCUUAGUACAGUUCUCCCUUAAAAUGUGGAACUGUCUCACUAAUAGCAUUUACUUCAAAAAGUCAGCUAUAAUUCUGAAGCAUAUGCUGUAACUAGCUAUAAUGGCAAGGGUUAUAUGUACAUGGGACAGACUUCCUUCACCCAUCAAAACUAAUCUGUACCUCUGUAUUCAGGAAAAGCUAAACAAAGGCCAAAGGCUGAUUUGUUAUGAGUUAAGUGUGUUUUCUUCACUCCCUGUUUUGAUGUCUGGAUGGGUGUAUUACUGACUCUUCCACAGCAGCUCAAGACGGGGGACAAAGAAGAAGCAGAUAUAGCAUAAAGUGCCAGUUUUUUCAGCUCCUUUAAGUUUCACCAGAUCAUAUUUGACUCAAUGAUCUAGGAGGUUUUUUCCAGCCGUAAUGAUUCCACAAUUUUGUAUCCCUGGCUCAAAAAGAAAGUUAUUAUAUUUCACCAAAGGAAGAGUUCACUCACCUGUUCUUUAUAUGGUAGAAUAUUGCUAAUGUUACACUAAAAAAGAGAAAGAAAGAAAAAGAAGAUUUAACAAAGCAUAUUCCAUGCACACUAUUCCACUGCAAAAGCUGUCAUUCAGGGCAAAAUAUUACAAAUCUAUUUUGUACAGGCUUCCUUUCACAUUCUCAAGUACUCCGUGUCUCAUUUCUGAUGUUUAACUGUCUAGAAAGAAACUGGCUAAAUCAAAUUUGCUAGCUAAACUACUUUUACAUUCAUUGUACAGAUAUUUGUGCAACAAAAUAAAUGUUAAGCAACAUUUUAAAUAUAUACUUUCAUUUCCUGAUUAGGUAAUACAAGUGGAAAUGUGGGGUAUUCCCAACUGAAAUAUAAGUUCUACUUGAUGUUACAUAUACUGUUGUAGAGAUUCUCCUGAUGUUUUAACUCUGUAUGCCCGGUUGUGUAAUUUAGGAACUGUCUGAAAAAGAGAAUAAUAAAAAUGAUACUAUGCCAGCAUAAUCCAAGAAGUGGACAAGAUCAGAUUUCAGUCUCUGCUAAGUGAAGCAAUAGGUUUCACAUAUUAAUGCUCAUCUACUGUGGCUAAAUUUCAGGUUUUUUACAACAACAACACUGCCAUCACAGGAAUCUAUCACAAGAAAGCUCUGAUCUGUUGACAACUGUACACCACUUCAAAAUGGCACAAGCAUAAUUUUUUAGGUUUUUGCUUCUCUAGAAAAGAAGUGACACGCUUUGUUUGAAAGUGACGAAUAGACUUAUACAUUUCCAAACUCUACUACACUGUCAAAACAGUGAAAGCCUUCUGGGACUCAAUCUGGUCAGCCCUCCUUUCCCCUCAAGCAUGGUAAACUUUUCUCAACUCUCACCUGGUAUGGUCUAAGUGCUAACAACCCGAAAAAUCAGGUCAAACAGCCAUUUACACUGGAGAAUCAAGGCAGCUACACAGUUAUCACCUACUACAAUAACAAAUACCUCAAGAAAAAGGAGAAAGGCUAGAACUAAAACCCAAGUCAGCAACACAGUUGUUUUUCACAACUAGAGGGCAGACUAACUCCACUGGCAAGUAGCAAACACAGCCCUGCAACUUUUCCUGCAACUCCAUACAAAACCCAUUUCAAGUUUUCCCAGAUGAAGAAUUUCUGGAUUUGGCUUUCAAUGUGAAUUGAACUCCCCCCCUCCACCCAGCACACAAGUGCUGACACACUUCUGCACUACCUCAAGUGGACGAUGAGAACUUCUUUGAAAUACGACAGUACUAAAACAAAAGCUCACUCCAGCAGUCAGAAUUACCAGACCUCUACACCCCUUCCAUGACCGACCUGAAGAAGCAGCGCUGUGCUUCUCUCAGUCAAGUGCACAACUGGUUUUGGAACAGACAGGACACCCAAAAAUCCCAAAUAAACCUUACAGUGCCACUCAGCCCCUCACAGAUGACAAACAGUUCUUACCACUUAAUUGUGCUUCUAAGGUUAGGCUGACUGACAGUGCUGUCAUCUAUAAAUAUUGUUGAGCAUGAACUGUAUUUUUUCGUAAGCUGUCCAGGAGAAACCUUGGGGGAGAAAAGAAAGGAACAAAAGAACUGAAAUACAUUCAAGAAGAGGGAUUCUGUAAGCUUUGGUUUACCACACUGAAUACUGGCUUUACACCUCAAGUGCUUACUGCACAGGGGGUCUUUGUAGAUGACUGCUGCUGCAAUCUAACCUACCCUGUAGCCACCUAGUUCCCUUGUGAAAGAUAGGUUUAUGAAUCAUCCGUUGUAAUAUACAACAUGGUGUUUUUAGAUAAAUAAUUUUCAUUAGAAAUAGCUGCAGCUAAAGCAGUGAGUCCUCUGAUUUUCUCAGUUCUCUUGCAUUCCAUUCUUGUCAGUUUGUGAUUCAGUCUUUCCUCUCUGUGAUGUAGUUAUUAAUCAUCAUCUCCCUUCUUUUAUAUCCUAUACCUUUACAGUUGUGGUUAUCCAGUAUUGCUUCCUGUAAAGACAAUUUUGCACUUGGGGUUUUUGUUAUUAGUUUAGAAGAAAAAGAAACCUCUUCCUGACAUUGCUCACUUCACACACGUCUUGGUUAGCAUCUGGAAUCUGGAAAUAGAGUACUGCUAUUGCCCUGACUUUUACUAUUAUUAUUUUGACCUAGCAAUAUGCUCUAUCAUCCAUCCUGACUCUGAACAUUAUAUACUGUAAGGAAUCUUCCUAUAUAACCCACAGCCAGGCUUCCCUGAGUACUUUUAGAGAAUGCCUUGCACUAGAGAUAGGACAUCAAAACUGAGGGAGGAAUUUUAAUCAAACAGUUCAAGAUUCAUUAGUUUUUGCCAAAAUGUUUUUAAAUGCCUUGUCUAAAACUUGGAAGUUCUCCAUAUGAAUAUGUUGGCACCCUUCACAACUCAAUGGUUGCCUGUGAAUAUCUCCCAUUCCAGCUGAAGUUUGCCAGCAAAACCAAUCCAAUCACACUUCACCUUGGUGCUGGCAGACUAAAGCUGGAACUGUGACAAAAAAAGAAAGAAAAAAAAAGAAUUACUCCCACUCCCUGCAUAAUCACACUAAAUACAACAGACUUGAAAUACCAUUAUCUUACCAAUAUCUUCUCAUUUACACUUUUGAUACACCAUAUUUUUUAAGCUUUGUGUUACUAACUUCUAUUCUUAGCUUUACUAAUCAAUAAUUUUUUAUCCAGUUAUUAAUGACACUGCAUCUUGUUUUGUUUUGGUUUCUUUUUGGUAAGUCAAGUGUCCAACUAAUAUUUGCAGAAAAAGCUCAGAGCAUAUUUUCAGAUAUUAAAACUAAUGGAUUAUGACUUGUUUAUCAUGCUGCUGAUGUUUGUUCAUCAUUCUGUUUUCAUACUGGAUACACUUCUUACAAUAAGUCCUGUAGCAAUACUCAAACAGAGAGUCAUUUAAAACUCAAUGAGAAAUUAAUGUAGUUUUAUUUCUGUUAAAAAAAACAUAGACAGUUUGACUUGUAUUUUCUUUUUUACUGUUCUGAAAUGCUUAAGACUGAUACAAUAAAAAGAUGAAUUCUUA